rnacentral:rRNA from 1 species
UACGUAGGGUGCGAGCGUUGUCCGGAAUUAUUGGGCGUAAAGAGCUCGUAGGCGGUGUGUCGCGUCGGCCGUGAAAACCUGGGGCUCAACUCUGGGCGUGCGGUCGAUACGGGCAUCACUGGAGUUCGGCAGGGGAGACUGGAAUUCCUGGUGUAGCGGUGAAAUGCGCAGAUAUCAGGAGGAACACCGGUGGCGAAGGCGGGGUCUCUGGGCCGAUACU